rnacentral:rRNA from 1 species
UACGGAGGAUGCAAGCGUUAUCCGGAAUGAUUGGGCGUAAAGCGUCCGCAGGUGGCUGUGUAAGUCUGCUGUUAAAGAGUCUAGCUCAACUAGACAAGAGCAGUGGAAACUACAUAGCUAGAGUACGUUCGGGGCAGAGGGAAUUCCUGGUGUAGCGGUGAAAUGCGUAGAGAUCAGGAAGAACACCGGUGGCGAAGGCGCUCUGCUAGGCCGUAACUGACACUGAGGGACGAAAGCUAGGGGAGCGAAUGGG